rnacentral:rRNA from 1 species
UUGCCAGACUCCUACGGGAGGCAGCAGUGGGGAAUGUUGGGCAAUGGGCGCAAGCCUGACCCAGCAACGCCGCGUGAAGGAAGAAGGCUUUCGGGUUGUAAACUUCUUUUCUCAGGGACGAAGCAAGUGACGGUACCUGAGGAAUAAGCCACGGCUAACUACGUGCCAGCAGCCGCGGUAAUACGGAGGGUGCGAGCGUUAAUCGGAAUUACUGGGCGUAAAGCGCUCGUAGGCGGUAUGUCAAGUCAAGGGUGAAAUCCCCGCGCUCAACGUGGGAACUGCCUUUGAAACUGGCAAACUGGAGUGUGUGAGAGGAUAGUGGAAUUCCAGGUGUAGGAGUGAAAUCCGUAGAUAUCUGGAGGAACAUCAGUGGCGAAGGCGACUAUCUGGCACAUAACUGACGCUGAGGAGCGAAAGCGUGGGUAGCAAACAGGAUUAGAUACCCCCGUAUU